GACGAACGCUGGCGGCGUGCUUAACACAUGCAAGUCGAACGGAAAGGCCCUUGCUUGCAGGGGUACUCGAGUGGCGAACGGGUGAGUAACACGUGGGUGAUCUGCCCUGCACUUCGGGAUAAGCCUGGGAAACUGGGUCUAAUACCGGAUAGGACCAUCGUUUAGUGUCGGUGGUGGAAAGUUUUUUCGGUGUGGGAUGAGCUCGCGGCCUAUCAGCUUGUUGGUGGGGUAAUGGCCUACCCAGGCGGCGCCGGGUAGCCGGCCUGAGAGGGUGUACAGCCACAAGGGGACUGAGAUAGGGAGCAGAGGCCUACGGGAGGCAGUGGUGGGGAAUAUUGUACAAUGGGAGCAAGCGGGAUGCAGAGACGCCGCGUGGGGGAUGACGGCCUGCGGGUUGUAAACAGCUGUCGUCAGGGACGAAGCGAAAGUGACGGUACCUGGAUAAGAAGCACCGGCUAACUACGUG
rnacentral:rRNA from 1 species